rnacentral:rRNA from 1 species
UGCGCAGGCGGGCCUUUAAGUCAGUGGUGAAAUCUUGCCGCUUAACGGUAAAAUUGCCAUUGAAACUGAAGGUCUUGAAUAUGGUUGAGGUAGGCGGAAUGUGUUGUGUAGCGGUGAAAUGCAUAGAUAUGACACAGAACGCCGAUUGCGAAGGCAGCUUACUAAGCCAUUAUUGACGCUGAGGCACGAAAGCGUGGGGAGCAAACAGGAUUAGAUACCCUGGUAGUCC